GGCUUCCUCAUGCUUAACAACAGGUUGUAUUCUUAUUCUGUCUGUCAGAAAGAGGAGGCAGAGUGAACCUACCCCAUGUACAUCUCAGCCCAGGCUACGGUACCAGGUAUGUCACGUGAAAGGGGCGUGGGGA
rnacentral:snoRNA from 1 species